rnacentral:rRNA from 1 species
UACGAGGGGUGCAAGCGUUGCUCGGAAUUAUUGGGCGUAAAGGGUAGGUAGGUGGUCUCAUUUGUCUGGGGUGAAAGCCUUGAGCUUAACUCGAGAAGUGCCUCAGAAACGGUGAGACUAGAGUUCUGGAGAGGGUCGUGGAAUUCCCGGUGUAGCGGUGAAAUGCGUAGAGAUCGGGAGGAACACCAGAGGCGAAGGCGGCGCUCUGGGCCGGAACUGACGCUGAGGAGCGAAAGCGUGGGGAGCAAACAGG